GCUUUUGGUUCAGUGGUAGAAUGCUUGCCUGCCCCGGGUUCGAUUCCCGGCCGAUGCA
rnacentral:tRNA from 1 species